rnacentral:rRNA from 1 species
ACUAGGUGUGGGAGGUAUCGACCCCUUCCGUGCCGGAGUUAACGCAAUAAGUACCCCGCCUGGGGCAGUACGGCCGCAAGGUUGAAACUCAAAGGAAUUGACGGGGGCCCGCACAAGCAGCGGAGCAUGUGGUUUAAUUCGACGCAACGCGCAGAACCUUACCAGGGCUUGACAUCCCUUGAAAGUUGCAGAGAUGCAAUUUCCAUGGUAGCAAUACCAUGGCAAGGAGACAGGUGGUGCAUGGUUGUCGUCAGCUCGUGUCGUGAGAUGUUGGGUUAAGUCCCGCAACGAGCGCAACCCUUGUGCUGUGUUGCCAGCGAGAGAGACGGGCACUCACAGCAGACUGCCGGGGACAACUCGGAGGAAGGUGGGGAUGACGUCAAAUCAUCAUGCCCCUUAUGUCCUGGGCCACACACGUGCUACAAUGGCCGGAACAGACGGCAGCGAACCCGUGAGGGGGAGCUAAUCCGAGAAAUCCGUUCUCAGUUCAGAUUGCAGGCUGCAACUCGCCUGCAUGAAGACGGAGUUGCUAGUAAUCUCGGAUCAGCACGCCUCGGUGAAUACGUUCCCGGGCCUUGUACACACCGCCCGUCACACCACGAGAGCUGACAACAC